CUAUUCUGCUCACUGAUGAAUCUCCAGUGUCUAGAACAGCACUUUUUACAGAAUAAGUGAUUAAUAAAUUUUUGUUGAAUUAAUAAACGUUUGUUUAAAAGUCAUCAGCGCGAUGAAUACUUCAGCUGGUCUCCUAAGAAAGCCCAAGGCCCCAGGAGUAAACAGUGGUUCUCUGGCUCCUGCGAUUUGCGUAGAAGUUCAAGUUGGGUAAUUCAGGCCCCAAAGGCUAUUUUUAGAGCAAAAACUCCAGAAGGAUGAUCCACAGAGAACCAGAGAAUUUAGUUCACUUCACUAAUGUAGCACUGGCAGAGCUAAAGGAGAAAUACCCCAAACUUUAAUUGCUCUUUCCCUUUGCUAACUGCUGCAAAACAAGUGCAUCCUGACAUCGCUGGGUACACCAUUUCAAUCAAGUGUAAGUAUUUCAUUGUCAUUUCUCUUGAUCUAAGCCCUUCUUAAGAAUAAUCAUAGCUACCAGGUAUUAAAAGCUUACUACGUGUGUAUACACGUUCUCAUAAAAGUUUCAAAAUGACCCUUAAACAGAUAUUAUCAUCCUCAUUUUGCAACCUUAAUUGACCUUCCUAAAGUCCCCUAGCUGGACUUGGAGCUGGAAUUCACCCAAACCAGGCUCUUAACCCCUAGGCUACCUGCAUAUCUCACCAGGAGAUGUGUGUAAACUGUAGGGGAGAACAGUGUGCCAAGCAUAAGAUGGUUGACAUUUUUUUUAAAAUUUUUGAAAUAAUUUAAAUUUGUAAACAACUACUUAUGCCGCCUGGGAUGGCAAAAAGACCAAAUGUUUGGGGAGCCAAAUGGUCCUGAGUUCAAAUCCUGCUUCACCACCAUCAGAGGGUCCUUAGCAAAAACCACGAAACCUUUCUGAGUCUGGGUUUCCUUAAGUGUAGACAUGAAGAUCAUGAUACCACAUCUUCUCAGGGAUGUUACUGGAGAGUGCCUGCUAUGAAGCCUGGCACAGAGUAAAUGCUCUUCAAGCCUAAAUUCCCUUCCUUCUAACGGAUUUGCUAAAUUGGCACUGUGCUGAUUUUUUUAAGUGUUUAGUUCAUCCUUGUAAUACCAUAAUUACAGAAGAUAAUGACACUGCAUUCUGUAUAACUACAAAGUAGAACUUAUAAACUGAUAAAAUACGAGCUGGAUGAGGCUUUAGAGGCCAUCUGUUCCAAUCCUUUCCAUUUCCAAAUGAAGACCAGGGAGUUUAAAACGACCUGUUUCCAAGUUUUUGUGGAAAGUUAAUUGCAAAGACACAGCUAGACCUUACAUCCCUCCGCCCCCACUCGCACUACACCCCCAGUUUUUGCCUCACAUUACACAGGCAUGGCAAUGCAUGUAAUUUUCAGACAAUUAAGCAGUAUAAAAUAACCUCAGUUUAAUUGCAUCCAAUUAACAAGCCAAAUUAGUGUUUCAUAUGUACACUAUUAAACUAGCUGUCUGGCUUCCAAAAGAAAUAAAACAGUGUUUCAAAUGAAUCUAGCAUUUUAGUGAACAAAGCUACUUACAAUUUGAAUUACCUUUCCUAUAAUCUUCUUUAUAUGGAAUUAGACCUAAUCUCCAUUUUAAAAGAAAUACUUCCUGCAACUAUCAGAAUUCAUGCUGUAUCUUAAGUAUCAAAAUUUUCUUUCUCACUAAACAUGUAUGAUUUUCUAAGAUUAGUAUAUAUGUGUGUUCGUGCACACAUGCAUGCCCAUACACAUAUGCAUGCCUACAGAUCCCCAAGUAAAUACAAAUGGGGGUGUGUCUUCAUCUACCUACCACCUAGUUUCAGAAGUCCCAUCUUCUGGUUGAGCUUCUGAAAUUAAGUGAAUCUGCCACAAUGCAAAUAAGAGCUUUAGUGAUCUCCUGCUUUCUUUUUCAGAGAAAAUGAAAGCACCGAAUAAAUCUUGGUCCAAAAAAACCCUUGCCUUUCAUAUACACUGCACUACACUAUCUGUCCAGUAUUGCCAAUGAGGUGGGUACAAUUAAAUGGAUAUCAAUUGAAAAGCAGUAUUCUAAUGAACCAUCUAUUCAUUCCUUAAAUAUUUAUACCUAAAAACAUAAAUAUCUUGUGAUCCUAGGUAUAACCACUUUUAUAAAUUGGUGUUUUAUGGUCAACUUUCACUAUGAGUACCUAUGAGUAUUUUCUGGAGUAAAAAGUUUUAUAGUAGGUUAAAAUAACAAUGCAGUACCGUACUUAAAAUGUAGUUCAGUGUGACAAUCUGCCAUACCUAUUUGGCCACGUGGUCCAAAUAUUUUAAUCACUCUUGUUAUUCGUUAUUUUAUAAAGUACUUUUAAGAUGUCCAUUAACAGGAUGAAAGAAUUCACAGCGUUAGGCAGUAGUGUCAAUCUUCUUUACUUCUCUUCUGGGCAUUACAGCACUUUUGACUGCCUCCUUGCCACCAAGAUACCCAUCCCAUACACCCUUACAAUCUUUCUAAAACACAUACAUAUAUAGCUGCUCAAAAACCUUAAGUGAAGUCCAGCUUUCUCAGGAGGCCUACACAGCGUCACAGGAUUUAGGACCAAUGUACCUUUCUAGGCUCACCUGUAUUUCCCUCUGGUUACCUGAACAAUGCCCAGGUCUCCAAAUAAUGACUGAGUUAUGCUGAGCAAUUUAAUUCUUUUCCCUUUCUGCAUAUUGAAAUACCACUCGGACUUUAAAGUUACUCCUUCUGACCCCUAGUGUGACUCCACAGCCCUGGCUUAGAAUUACUACAUAUACUGACCUUUUCUGCCACCUAAAUAGAAUUUUCUAUAUUAUAUAAAUUUAGAAAUUUUGAAAGAGGGAGCAAAUAAUUAAUUGAUACAGUUGACAAAAUAGAAUGUGAGUCCAAGAUUCCAUACAGGAAUGCUAUAUUUCAAGAACCUCUUCUUCUACUCUUUGCCUUCAUACUCCCUUUUAAGUAUUUCAGUGACCCCUCAUCAUAUGAAAAGGAAAAAAUCAGAUCCACACUUCUCCAUAGUUUCUGAUGUUUGCAAACAUGUAAAUAAAUUAUCUGGGGAAUGAAUGUUUUCGCAGCUGUUUAGAAACACAUAGAUCCAAUGCAUGCAGGGCUCUAAAGAUUCAUCGGUUACUUCACACAGUGACCUUGUAAAGACUUUUGAAUUUGCAGUUAUUCAUUAACUGAAUCAAUGAUGCUGGCCAAUUUAGUUAACUGGAGUCCCAAAUAAGUAUUUUUUGAAACAUAUUACUCAUUCUUAAAAAAAGAAUCUGUAAAUAAUUACACAAUUAAACCCCUCAAACUGAAGUCAAUACACAAAAUCAUAAAUCUCCAGGGAGUCAGAGACCAUUUAUAUGGAAGCACUGCGCAAAGACACAUGUUAUAAAUAAGCCUCCUCCAGCUUCCAGGCCCUGGCCCCCAAAUUCCCUCUCCAUUAAUCAGUCUCUAACAUGGCCAAUAGUGGGGUCAUUAUAUGCCCUGAUUUGCCAAGGAGUCUCCAUUUAUGCCAAAUUAGAUAAUCAUUCAUGUGGCCAACCUGCCACAUGGUUGGGCCUCACCUUGCAUUACCUCUCUUGUUACCUGCCCUCCAGCCCCACUGGCUUACUUUCAACUCUUCAAAACACUGCAUAUCCCCCAACCUCAGCACAUUUUGCAUUGUUCUUUGUUGUACAAUAUUCUCCCCUUCUUCUCCUCAACGCUUACUCAUCCUACAGUCUCGGCUCAAACAUCACCUCCUAAGAGAGAUCUCUUCCUCACUCCCAGACAGGAGU
rnacentral:lncRNA from 1 species